rnacentral:rRNA from 1 species
GACGAACGCUGGCGGCGUGCCUAAUACAUGCAAGUAGAACGCAGUUGCGAACGGUUGAGUAACGCGUAGGUAACUGCCUGGUAGCGGGGUGUAACUAUUGGAAACGAUAGCUAAUACUGCAUACUACCAGAUGGACCUGCGUUGUGUUAGUUAUUUGGUGAGGUAACGGCUCACCAAGGCAACGAUACAUAGCCGACCUGAGAGGGUGAUCGGGCACACUGGGACUGGAACACGGCCCAGACUCCUACGGGAGGCAGCAGGAGGGAAACUUCGGCAAUGGGGGGAACCCUGAACGAGCAACGGCGGGGGAGUGAAGAAGGGUUUCGGGUCGUAAAGCUCUGUUGUUAAGGGAGCGGUACUUAACCAGAAAGGGACGGCUAACUACGUGCCAGCAGCCGCGGUAAUUC